AAACGGAUGUUUAUUUGAUGAUCACUUAAGUCCAAAUGGCGUUAUUUAGGCUGAUAAUUGUGAUAAUUACUCCUUCAUCUUAAAAAGGUAGGCAUCCAUCUAAGACAUAAAAAAUGAGUGGGAGAUAUGAGAUUUUAUGGGCCACACCUGGAAAUGGCUCAGAUAGUUUUCAUCCACAUUCCACUUAAGGAUUAAGCAAUUCCUAAGUCACAUGACCCAAACCUAACUUCAAGAGGGGUUGGAAAAUGUAGAUUAGUUGUAUACUAAUUGGUUUGAUAAAGCAGUUUGCCAAUCUCUGCCAGAACACACAGGGGUAAAUCCAGAUGGAUUAAGAGCUACAUUCAGGCCAAGCACUGUGGCUCAUGGGUAUAAUCCCAGUACCUUGGGAAAUCAAGGUGGAAGGAACACUUGAAGCCAGGCGUUUGAGAUCAGCCUGGGCGACGUGGCAACGUGGUGAGGCUCCAUCUCUACCAAAAAAAAAAAAGAAUACAAAAUAAAAACUGAAUAGCCAGGUGUGUUAGCAUGUGGCUGUAAUCUUGGCUACUUAGGAGGAUUCCUUGAGUCCAGGAGUCCAAGGCUGCAGUUAGCUAUGAUUACGCCACUGCUCUUCAACAUAGCGACAGAGUAAGACUCUAAAAAAUGAAAAAAAUAAAAUAAAAAGAGAAGAGCUACAUUUAAACAUAUAGCUAUAAAAAUACAAGAGGAAAACAUGGAAUAAUUUGAAGAUGGUAAGAAUUCUAUGAGGAAUGGGAGUUUACCCUACCUGCAAGCUACAAAGUUAGCCUGCGACAAUUUUAGGGAUGCCGGCAGAAGACAUGUGGUCCUGGAUUAGAGACAAAUAAUUUUAUUAGUCAUGGCAAAAACAAGAGGCAGAGUGUGAGCAUGAUGUUUGUGUCAGUUUCCCCAUUGGGUUGGGGGUCCCUAAGACCACCCUGAGGCUCAAUGAUUCACUAGACUCACAGGAGGCUGGGCACAGUGGCUCACGCCUAUAAUCCCAGCACUUUGGGAGGCCAAGGCGGGCGGAUCACCUGAGGUCGGGAGUUGGAGACCAGCCUGAUCAAUAUAGAGAAACCCUGUUUCUACCAAAAAUACAAAAUUAGCCAGGCAUGGUGGUGCAUGCCUGUAAUCCCAGCUACUCGGGAGCUUGAGGCAGGAGAAUUGCUUGAACCCGGGAGGGAGGCAGAGGUUGCAGUGAGCCGAGAUCACGCCAUUGCACUCCAGCCUGGGCAACAAGAGUGAAACUCCAUCUCUUAAAAAAAAAAAAAAAACUCACAGGAGUCAGAAAAUGCUGCUAUAUUCAUACUCAUCGUUUAUCACAGAUUAAAGGAUAUAGAUUACAAUCAGCAAAGGGAAAAGGUACAUGGGGCAAAACCUAGGACAAAACAGGGGCAGGGGCAAGCUUCCAGGUGUCCUCUCCCAGUUGGGUCAUAUGGACACACUCCAAAAAUGAUGUGUGAAAACAUGUACUAAUGUUGUCAACCAGGGAAGCUCACAUUGAGCCUUGGUGCUCAAGGUUUUUACACAGGGUCAAUCACAUAGGCGUAAAUCACUUACAGGACUGAACUCAGCUACUCCAUCUCUAGCCUCCCAGAGAAAGAAAUGUUCACCAUAAAUCACAUUGUUAACAUAAACUGUCUGAUCAAAUCGGUACUACGUUCGCAAAAGGCUCAGAGGUCAUCUUCCAGGAGCUGUCCAAGAGCCAGUCCCAAAGACAGGCCUUUCUCAGGAUGUACUUAUUUCUCCCAGCACAAUGUGUGACAACUUGUGCAAAAUGUUGCCAACUAGGAUGCUCACCUGAUCCUUGGGGUCUAUGGUUUUUAAUGGGGGGGUCAGUCACAUAGAUAUAAAUCACCUGUAUGAUUGACCUCAGCUAUUCAGACUCCAGUCUCCCAGAGCACAGAUGAGUACUCACCAUAAAUCACUUAGAUAAAACUAGCUGAUCAAAGUGGUAUCAGAAGGUCCAAGGCCUUAUGCAUACAAAAAUGCUCUUAUCAGAAAGAAUUGUUAGUUCAGAGCUCAUCUCCCAGGAGCUGACCAAGAACCAGUCUGCAAGACAAGCAUAUCUUGGGAACGUGCAGAGUUUGAGCAACCCUGGCCAGCUGAGUUAACCCCUUCCUGUAUACUUGUAUUCUCCCAAGUCCUAUGGGGAAAACACAAAGGACCAUCGUUUGUUUGAUACCUGUAGAUUCACUGUAGGAGAGGAGUAUUGAACUUGACUGAUUUUUGUCCUGGAGGAGAUGUUACUCAUUCCUCAAGCUUGCUCAGUGCAAAUAAAAUCCUGAAAAAUGACCCAGGUAAAAGGUGAACAGGGCUUUGAGGUCUUGGUAUACUUAGCGAGAACCUGUGGAAGCUCAAGGCUUAUGGUAGAUUGCAUUGUCCAACAAGGGUAGGCUCUCUUACAUAAGAUAAAACACAGAUGGCAAAUUGAAGUGAUUGAUAAAUUUGGUUACAUAAAAACACUUAUACAGCACAAAAGACACCAUAAAAAUGAAACUGGGGCAUAGAAUAUAGUAAGCUGGAAUGAUCAUUAUUUCCACUCUAAAAAUUCUAAUAGAAAAAAUUACAAAAUCAUAAAUUUUCUUGAAUCCAACAAAGAGAUGUGGUAGUCGGAAAACCAAGCAGCCAGAGAUCUAGGGAAGUACAAGCACCUCCUAGGAAAAAGAUUUAAGAGCACUGGCUCACUUGUGACAGAGCACAGAAGGAAGAUGGGGUUGCCAUAAAGGUAAGAAGUAUUUGAUUAAAGUUUUUGAUGAAUUGCUGCAGCUGAAUGUGGGCUAACUUGAGACUAUGAAGCCCUGAGAGCUGCUGACAUAAGGGGAAUUUGCAUCUAAUCUUAGGCUCAUAGAUAUGAGCCUACACUGGACACUCAGGAGAAAGAUGGGAGACAGGGCAGAUAAAACUGUUGAGGAUGUAGGCCUGAAAGAGGAGGGGCUGCUGCUGUAGGAAAGAUACAAAUCUCCACUAGGACCCUUUUUCCCUACUGGAAAAAACAAACAAACAACAACAAAAACUUAAGCCACUGGAAGGAAGGACAUCAAACACUGUCACUCAGGACACAGAUACAUCUCCUAAUUGGGAAAGGGGCAACAGACACUCCUGGAAAAGAUUUAUCAAAGAUACAGUGAAGAGUUUUGGUGUCACAAGGAAGAGUGGCAGGAUCACUAAGAGUAACAAUCCCAAGAUUUAGCCAUGGUUCUUUUAAGUAUCAAAAAUACAGAAAAACUUUUAAACAUCAAGAGCUCAAAAAAUUCUUUCCAUGAGUCUUUUUUUUUUUAAGAAAUCUGCUAGAAAAUAAACUUUAUUCAAACAAAAAAAUGACUAGAGAAACUUCAGCAAUUUAGCAUUAAAUAUACUUAAUUGCAAAUCUAAGAUCAAAAUUAAGGUGAGAACAGGGUAUAAUAAUAAUAGGUUAUAUGAUAAUGCUAUUUGUUUUGUGCUGUAUGUUCUGAUGAAUAAAAAAUGAUGCAACUAAAAAUAGGAAGAGAAGGUAGAUGAAAAAAGGAAAGUAGGAAAACUCAAUAACUGGUAUUUAAGCAACAUGUGAAAGUUAAAGAAUGUCAUUAAAGAUGGACAAUACAGAUUCUAAAUAAAAAAUGGGGGGGGCGCUAAGGGCAUUAAAAAAAGUAUAAGCAAAAGGACAACAGAAACAUAAACCUUCCUAAAUACCAAAUUUAAGAUUUUGUUUUUAAAGAAGAGCACAGUAAACACAUUAUAACGAAAAACAGACUAAAUGUAAUAAAUAUAAUAAUUACAGCAUAAAAUAAUCUGGCAGGGUUGACAGCAAACAUAUUCAUCUUAACACAUGUGAAAGGGCUUACUUCACUUAUUAAAUGGAAAAGAUCUUCAUUUGGGUUCAUAAAGAACCAACUAUAUGCUCUAUUCAAGAGAAACACCUAAAACAAUUAUUUAGAAAGGCUAAAAAUAGGCCGGGCGCAGUGGUUCACGCCUUUAAUCCCAGCACCAUGGGAGGCUGAGGCGGGUGGAUCACCUGAGGUCAGGAGUUCGAGACCAGCCUGGCCCACAUGGCAAAACACCAUCUCUACUAAAAACCCGAAAAUUAGCUGGGCGUGGUGGCGUGUGCCUGUAAUCCCAGCUACCCAGGAGGCUGAGGCAGGAGAACUGCUGGAACCCAGGAGGCAGAGGCUGCAGUGAGCCGAGAUCGUGCCACUGCACUCCAGCCUGGGCAAUGAAGCAAGACUCUGUCUCAAAAAAAAAAAAAAAAAAAAAACUGAAAAUAAAAGAAUAUCUAAGGUCUUCCAGGCAAAUGGAAACAAGAAAGCAGAAGCACCGGCUGGGCGUGGGGGCUCACACAUGUAAUCCCAGCGCUCUGGGAGUCUGAGGCAGGUAGAUCACCUGAGGUCAGGAUUUCGAGACCAGCCUGGCCAACACGGUGAAACGCCAUCUCUACUAAAACUAUAAAAAACCAGGCGUGGUGACAGGUGCCUGUAAUCCCAGCUAACGGGGAGGCUGAGGCAGAGAGAACUGCUUGAACCUGAGAGGCAGAGGUUGCAGUGAGUCAAGAUGGCACCAGUGCACUCCAGUGAGACUUUACCUCAAAAAAAAAAAGCAGAAGCACAAUACUGAUAUUGGAUGAAGUAGCAAGCAAAGCAAGCAAACCGUUGUAAGGAAAGAUUUUUGAACUAUUUUUCUCAAUACAUUUGUAAAAAUGGAACAAAAGGAAAUAAAAAGAGAAACUCAUGCAUCUGAUUAUAUGGCAGAAAUAAAUGGCAGAAAAAGAAAUAACAUGAUAGAAAAACAACAUAAAAUCAAGACAAUUGACAAACGGAAAAAUAUUUGCAGUACAUAAAACAGGUAAAGGGCUACUAUCCCUAAUAUAUAAUAAAUAAACCUUAAAAAUUAGGGGGAAAAAGGAAAAAAAAACCCUCACCAGUGGAAAAAUGGGCAAAAAAAAAAAUUCAAAAAAUUGAUACAAAAGUGGUCCUUAAACAUUAAAAAGUAUUCAACUAUCCUCCCAAAGAGUAAGCAAUACACAGCCAAAUUACAUAGAGGUAAUAUUUCUUACCCAUCUUACUGUCACAAAGAGGUCAUGGGAGGCAACAGAGCCAGACUCCAUCUCAAAACAAACAAACAAAAGAAAAACAAAAAAACAAAUAAAAAAAACAAAGAGGUCAUGGGAAAAUAGGCCUCUGUCAUACACUGCAGUGGGCAUACAAACCUUCAUGGAGGGGAACUUAGCAAUUUUCAACAAAACUACAUAUGCAUUUACAUUCUGACACAACAUUCCCACUUCCAGAAAUUUACCCUGAAGACAGACCUGCAACAACAUGAAAUACAUACUGUUUUUUCAUAUAUUUCCUUUGCAACAUUGUUUGUAAUUGCACAAUGUGAAAAUAAUCCACAUACCCAUAGAUAGAAGAGUGGUUUAGUAAAUUCUUAUACAUUUACCCAGUGGAGUACUAUAAGACAAUUUUUUAAAUGAGGAAGAUCUCUAUGAACAAAUCUGCAGUGAUUGCCAGGAUAUAUUUUAAAUGAAAAAGGCAAAGUUCACGUAAUCAUCUAGAAACUGCUAAUUUUUGCAUAAGAAAGAAUAUGAGGUAAGAAAAAUAGACAUAUAUUUGUUCAUCUGUGCAAACAGGAACACAGGAAGAAUUUACCAGGGAUUAAUGAGAUUUAUUGUUUACAGGGGGCGGGCGGGAAUGGGGUGGAAAGAACAAACAAUGGGAAAGGGGAGAGUUGCCACUCCUCCGAUUAUAGUAUUUUGUGUAGCUCUGACUUCACGAACAGUGUUGCCGUUUCAUAUACAUAAAGGAAAAAAAAAAAACUACCAAGGAUGGAGGAAAAAUCAUUAAAAUAAAAUACUGUCAGAACCAUAUAAAUUUCACUACAUUUCACAUAUACUGAAGGGAGGAGGGAAACCAGUAUUCACCCAGGGAACUUUAUAUAUAUCUUUUUAAAUUGAGAUAUGAUUCACACAAUAUUCACCCUUUUAAAGUGCAGUUCAGUGGAUCCUGUAUAUUCACAAGGUCGUAUAAUCAGCGCUAUCCAAUUCCAGAAUACAUUCAUCUUUCUAAAAGUAAAUGUCAGACUCAUUAGCAUGCACUCACUAUUCUUCCCUCUCCCAGCUCCUAGCAAUCACUGAUGUAUUUUCAGUCUCUAUGGAUUUACUUAUUUUGGACAUUGCAUGUAAGUGGAACCAUAUUGUGUGUUUAGCUUCUUUGUUAGCAUGAUAUUCUUAAGGCUCAUCCAUUCACGUUGUAGUCUGUAUCAAUACUUCAUUCCUUUUUAUGCCUGAAUCCAGUCCACUGUAUGCAUAAACCACACUGUUCACUCAUCAUCAGAUGAUGGAUAUCUGGGUUCUUUUUUUUUAGCUAUUAUGCCACUAUGAACAUUCACAUUCAAGUAUUACAUGUUUUCAAUUCUCUUGGGCAUGUAUGGCUAUGGGUGAAAAUUAUGGUUGACAUGAGACUUUCAUCAUGCCUAUGUUGGUACAUCUGACAGUGUCCCACAGGUCUCUGAGAAUCUGUUCAUUCCUUUUUGGCUUUUCUUCGUAAUUUCUAUCUCAUUAUUGAUUUUCUCUAUUUGGUGAGACGUUGUUUACUUUGGUUCUUUGAACAUAUUUAAAAUAGCGUUUUCAAUGUCUUUUUUGAGUAAGUGUGAAGUCUGGGCUUCCUCAGGGAAUUUCUAUUGCUUUUUUCCCCAUCAGUGCAUGGACCAUUCUUGCUUGUUUUUGUGCAUGUCUCAUAAUUUUUUGGUGAAAAUUGGACAUUUUAAAUAACAUGUUACAACUCUGUAUAUCAGACUCCCUUUCCUCACCAGGUUUUGCUGUUGUUGCUAUAUUUUGCUGUUUACUGACCUUUCUGAACUAUAUAUUUGUAAAGUCUAUAUUCUUUGUUGUGUAUGAAAUAUCUGAUUCAUAUGCUUAGUAGUGUGCUAAUAAUUGGACAGAUUUCCUUAAAUGCCUGGAAUCAAUACUUCUCUUUGUAUUGGGGACUCUGUGUGUUGGGGCACACCUUUAAUACUUAGCCACAAGUUAACAGCUUCUCCUUAGCCUUCACCUACUUAUGCAGUGCCUCAAGGUCAGCCAUUGGUGAGAGUUUAGGGCCUUCUCAGCUUUUUCCUGAGUAUGCACACAGCUUUAUGCAUGUACAUAAUCUCCUUGAUUCCAAAAAAAUAUGUCAUAACUUAUCAAAGUCCCUAUCUUUUAGUUGUUCAACCUUUCUGAACUAUUUAUGUGUAAGGUCUAUAUUCUUGGUUGUGUAUGGUCGUUGAAAUCUCUGAUUCAUUAAACUUAGUAGUGUGGUUACUUUUGGUUAAAAAGAGUAAUAGAAAAAAAGCAAUAGAAAUUCCCUGAGGAAGCCCAGACUUCAGACUUACUCAAAAAAGACAUUAAAGACGCUAUUUUAACUUACUUAGUUUUUGGUUAAUUUACUGUUUACCCCAACUGUUACUCACUGCCUAAGGCAGUCUUGAUGUUAAAAAAAAAAAAAAGCCUCUAAUUGUUUUUGAAAAACAAUCUCUGGGAAAAAGCUUAUCUCAUUGGGCAAGCUCUAACUCAGAUGAAACAAAUAUAGCAUUGCAAGUUAAGCCUUCCAGUUAACCAUUGGUCAGGUCAAAUAAUGACAGUACUCAGGGAAUGUGUCUGAAGAAACUCCAACCCUGUUCUGAACUCCCUCCAGUGGCUGCCAGGCUGCUGGUUUGCACUAUGAUCAUGGGCUGUUGGUUUUCACAGCUACCAUGAAUCUGGGAAGCAGAUUAGAAUAAGGCAAGGUUUCACAAAGAUCCCUGUUCUUAUCAAGAUUUAGAUUCAAGAUUCAGAUAUUUUUUCUUUAGUAAAUACUUCUUGGAUUGCUGCAAGCCUUUGGUUAAUUCUAGAGUUCUGAAAGGUUGAUUCUGAUAGUUUGGACAGUUUUCUUAUUGCUUUCACAGAGAGAAACAUUUUUUGGAUGUUCUUACUCUGCCAUUUUAGCUGUUAUUACCCCAGGUAACUUUUAAAGAGCUCUAAACAAAUAUUGAACUCUUUGGCUAGUAGGCUUCUGUUUUGCAGAGCUAUCACUUAGCAAUUCUGAAACUAGCUUGUGUAUGUAUUCUAAGGUUGAACUUUCAAAUAUGUAAAUAUAUCCUCGAUAAUGGUAAUCAAUUUUCUCACUAUUAAAGAACUUACAUGUUAAAAGGACAUAGGAGACAGCUUGGGGAGGCUCCCACUAGCCAAAUUAAGUAGAAUUUGAGCACUAAAAUAAUGAAGGACUUAAUUUAAAAAUCCAUGGACUGGAUUUGCCCUUCUAUAUUAAACAACUAGGAAAUUGCACAAAAUACACCAAACAACAGUUUUCAGACAAUGGAGAACAGGUGGCAAAGGAUAACCGUAACUGACAGAAGAAAAACAAACGAGUUUGAGUGCUACAAGUAUACCAGCUCACUGCCUGAAGUUUCCAAACCAUAGUGCAGACAGAAGAACCCCAAAAGAGCUCAGUGGCCUUACUGAAAUUAGAGACAGACUUCAGAGUUCAGAAAAGUCAACGUGAUUAGAAUUUGUGAGGCAAAAUACUAGAGGAAGGAAAUACACAGAAAAAGUGCUCCAAAGCUCUGUAGAAGGGUUCUUUCAAGUCUUUAGUGGAAGAUCAACCUGCAUGAGGUGUAUAAAGAAUAUAACUAAGACCAGGAAAAAAACUAAACACUAGAAAGGAGUAAGUGGAACUAUGCCUUCCACAAGCCCAGGUAUAGUUUGUGUUCUGACCAGCCAUUGCAGAAAGAUUUCCUGAUAGACACAGUAUCAGGUAGAGUUCCUAAAAUGGUAAUGCCUCGUAGUGGAGUCAGAUGAACCCUAGACCAGGGUUUCUCAACCUUAGCACUGUUAACAUUUUGGGCUAUAAAAUUCUUUUUUGUGUGUGUAUAUAUUACACACAGCUUAGCAGCAUCCCAGGCCUAUAUCUGCUAGAUGUAGCCCCCUCCCACCCCCAACCCUUGACUAUGCAAAAUAUCUCCAGAUGAUGUUGCCAAAUGUUCCCUGGGGGGAAAAUCACUCCAAGUCGAGAACCAAUGCCCUAGACUAAUGGCUCUUGUAGACCCAUUCUAACAAAGCACAAACCUCAAAAUGACCAUCUGAUUCUAAGUAACUUCACUGCAUCCCAGAAAAAGUCCAACAGUACUUGUAACAAAAUCUAAUAGCUAACAGCUAACAAAUUUAAAACUCUUCCCUCUUAACUUUUUACUUGGACCGUAACUCCUUCCAGUUGAGGUAAAAAGUCUUGGACAGACUCAGCAGUGUGGAGGAUAGUGACCCCAACUUCACAGUCUGGCAAACUCUGGGUAGGUACAGAGACAUUUUCCUUUUACUUUUUUGUCAGUCUGAAAUUAUAUCAAAAUAAAAUUUAAAAGAAAGAAGUACAAAAACAAUGUAUGCAUCUGACACAGCAAAAAUAAUUUUCUCUCUGCAUAAUCCCUUGAAUUCCAUUAUUCUAUUUAUCAAAUUUUUUUUUUUAGAUGGAAAAGUUUGCAGAAAGAGGCACUAAUCAAU
rnacentral:lncRNA from 10 species